GAUACUGGCUCAGGAUGAACGCUAGCUACAGGCUUAACACAUGCAAGUCGAGGGGCAUCAUGUUGGUUGCUUGCAACCAAUGAUGGCGACCGGCGCACGGGUGAGUAACGCGUAUCCAACCUUCCCCUUAGUAGAGGAUAGCCCGGCGAAAGUCGGAUUAAUACUCUAUGUUCUUCAAUGCGGACAUCUAAGUUGAAGCAAAGAUUUAUCGCUAAGGGAUGGGGAUGCGUCUGAUUAGGUUGCAGGCGGGGUAACGGCCCACCUGGCCUACGAUCAGUAGGGGUUCUGAGAGGAAGGUCCCCCACACUGGUACUGAGACACGGACCAGACUCCUACGGGAGGCAGCAGUGAGGAAUAUUGGUCAAUGGGCGCGAGCCUGAACCAGCCAAGUAGCGUGCAGGACGACUGCCCUAUGGGUUGUAAACUGCUUUUAUCAGGGAAUAAAGUGAGGCACGCGUGCCUUUUGUAUGUACCUGAUGAAUAAGGACCGGCUAAUUCCGUGCCAGCCGCCGC
rnacentral:rRNA from 1 species